rnacentral:rRNA from 1 species
GGGGCAGCAUGGGGGAGUAGCAAUACUCUCUGAUGGCGACCGGUGCAAGGGUGCGUAACGCGUGAGCAACUUGCCCUCAUCAGGGGAAUAAUCGCUGGAAACGGCGUCUAAUGCCCCAUGGUGAUGUCCUCAGGCAUCUGAGGUCAUCUAAAGAUCCGUCGGAUGGGGAUAGGCUCGCGUGACAUUAGCUAGACGGCGGGGUAACGGCCCACCGUGGCGACGAUGUCUAGGGGUUCUGAGAGGAAGGUCCCCCACACUGGAACUGAGACACGGUCCAGACUCCUACGGGAGGCAGCAGUGAGGAAUAUUGGUCAAUGGCCGGAAGGCUGAACCAGCCAUGCCGCGUGAAGGUCAGUGCCCUAUGGGCGUUAAACUUCUUUUGUGCGGGAGCAAUAAUGGUCACGUGUGGCCAGACGAGAGUACCGUACGAAUAAGCAUCGGCUAACUCCGUGCCAGCAGCCGCGGUAAUACGGGGGAUGCAAGCGUUAUCCGGAUUUAUUGGGUUUAAAGGGUGCGUAGGCUGUGAGGUAAGUCAGCGGUGAAAUGCCCCCGCUCAACGGGGUGAAGUGCCAUUGAUACUGCCUUGCUGGAAUGCGGAUGCCGU